rnacentral:lncRNA from 1 species
CCGUCAACAUCUAGCUCAAAAUCCUUUCAGACUAGAACUUCCUCCAUGGAAUUUUUAGAUGAAGAUUUGAUGGAAGUAACUCCUCUGCGUAUGAUACCAGGUAACAUUCCAAGCUCACCUUCCGUGGCUAAAGCUAAGCAAGGUAACACUCCUAAAAAAUCGCCUGAUAAGAGAGGACAUGCACUCUACUGAUCGCAUCAUAAGAAACCUAGUUACUAUCAUACUGAAGGAAGAGCAUGGAGUUAAGGACACUUUUACCCCUCUGUCCAGAAGGGAACCCUCACCUGAGGUGGAAAGCCAAGCUGAGAAAGAUGAUAACUCAUCUAAAACAGAAAAGGAAGUAGCUGCUGAGGGUCUGUGUUCUCUUGGAAAAAACUUACCUAGUAUGUCCCCUGAUACUGCUCAGGACAUUAAGGAAGAAAGGUCUGAGGAAGAAGAUGACACGUUGGUCAAUCUUGUGAAAACAAGUGUAGCUAAUAGACUGAGAAAGAGGAAGAGUAUGGCUGAGAUAAGGACAUGUAGGAAAGAGAAAAGGGUUGCUGGUAUAGGUCCCUCCAAAUCUUGGAGUAAAGUAGAGGUCAGGAAGAAGAAAGACAAUGAAAGUUCUGAAUCUAAUGAGAAUGUUGAAGACGAUGUUCCAGACAUCUCCUCUGACAAAAGAAAGGCUGUAAAGAAAGUAGUUGCUGAGCAUCUAGACAAAUGGAGGUUUGUCACUGAUCAAACCAUCAGACAUGCCUCCACCAAUGCUGUAAAGUUACCCAUUGCAUUCCCAUCUAUCAUUUGUGGGAUCAUCCUGGGUCAACAACCAGGAAUCCUGAGUACAAGUGAUAUUCCAAGCAGGAGAAAAACUCCUUUGUCCAUUCAUUAUAAGUUGUUUGAGGGAAGUCAUGUCAAUGAUGUCAUGACAUCUGCCAGAAGGGAGUCUACAGCUAAAGGAAGCUUGAUUGACCAACUGAAAGAGAACUGCAAGGAAUUGGACAAUGGUAUAAGGGUGGCCAAGGCCAGAAAAGAAGCUCUAGAAGUUCUCAUCUGUAGCCUGGAAAGGGAAGACAUAGAAAAGGCUGGAAAAGACUCAAAUACAAGAUCCCAAUCCAGUUCUGAAAGCUCAGAAGACUCUGAAGGUGAAGCUGAAGAUGAAGAUGAAGGUGAAGGAGAUACUUCUUCUUCUGAUUAAUGGUUCCUGCCUGAAUUGAAGACUUGGAGGGGUGCUGGAAGGUGUGGUGGAAGCUGGGCUGCUGGUGCACAGGUGUCUGAUAUGGUGCACAGGUGUUGUUGUUGAAGCAGAUGUCAGUAUGACAUUCUGGCUGGUACAGGUGAUGGAGUUACAGUAGCUGUUUUUUGAUGAAUGCACAGAUUUAGGGGGGGAGAAGUACCCUUGUGCAUUGUGCAUUUGUGUGUCUUACUAGUUGCAUCCAUAACUAGUAAUUCUGUUGAUUGUUGCACAGAUUGAGGGGGAGGAGAAAUACCCUUGUGCAUGUGUGUAUUACUAGUAGCCAUAGCUAGUAAUUGUUUUUUGCUUCUGCUGCUGAUUAAACUACUGUUAUGUGGUUUAAACUGCUGAUAGUUUGCCUUGUGAACAAAAAGGACAGAUAUAUGUUUUAGCCAAAAUUUGCCAAAGGGGGAGUUUGUUGAUUCUAGUGUUGGCACAAUUUGGUAAAACAAAGAGUGUUCAAAGAUGUCAUGUGUGAUGUCUUAACAUGAGAUAUCCUAUGUACCUGCUGGAGUUAAAGAAGAUAUGCAAGCAGGAUUUUUCAUCAGAAUGCCACAUACAAAGACAAGGCUUCUGAUAUUGGUUGUACCUGCUGGAGCUUAACUGGAAGACAUAUUCAUGCAGGAUUGUUUCAGAUGACAUACACAAACUGUAACUUGGUAAAGUGUACGGAUAGUCUUUGAACUAAUUCUAUUAUAGUGGAUUUCCUUCCUGGCUUGGUAGCCCCCAAAUGUAGGUGAGUUGCACCGAACUGGGUUAACAAUUUCUUGUGUAAAAUGCUUUACAAUUCUGUUUAAAUUAUCCAUUGUGUAUUAACAGAUAUCAGUGUCGUGACAUUACCUUCGACAUCUUAUAUCUGAUACCAGAAUUUCAAAUUGUUAAACCCAUUGAAAAUAAUGACCCUAUGCCCUCUCCCAACUUUGAAUUUCCUGUGUUCUAAAUGGAAGAAGAGGAUGAUGAAGAGCUUCCUGAUGAGAUUUCUUAGUUGCUUGAGCACGAAGAAAAGACCAUUCAGCCUCAUAAAGAGCCGUUGGAAGUGAUUAAUCUGGGUUCCGAAGAUAACAAGAAAGAAGUCAAGAUUGGGGCACUGUUUUGUCCAGAUGUUAAGAAGAGUAUGGUAGAGCUUCUUAGAAAAUAUGUGGAUGUGUUUGCUUGGUCUUAUCAAGAUAUGCCAAAUUUUGAUACUGAUAUUGUGGAGCAUAGAUUACCAUUGAAGCCAGAAUGUCCGUCAGUUAAACAGAAAUUAAGAAGAAGUCACCCUGAUACGGCUGUCAAGAUUAAAGAAGAGGUGUAAAAGAAGAUUGAUGUUGGAUUCCAUGUUACUGCUUAAUACCCUCAAUGGGUAGCUAACAUUGUACCUGUUCCAAAGAAAGAUGGUAAAGUUCGGAUGUGUGUUGAUUAUAGAGACUUGAACAAAGCUAGUCCGAAAGAUGAUUUUCCUCUGCCACACAUUGACAUGUUAAUGAUAAUACAGCUAAGUCCAAUGUAUUCUCCUUUAUGGAUGGGUUCUCCGGUUAUAAUCAGAUCAAGAUGGCGCCCAAGGACAUGGAAAAGACAACAUUUAUUACACCCUGGGAAACAUUCUGCUAUAUAGUGAUGCCUUUCGGUUUAAAGAAUGUUGGUGCAACGUACUAGAGAGUCAUGACUACUCUUUUCCAUGAAAUGAUGCACAAAGAAAUAGAAGUUUAUGUUGAUGAUAUGAUUGCUAAGUCGAAGGCUGAAUAAGAUCAUGUUGAGUAUUUGUUGAUGUUGUUUAAGCGGUUGAGAAAGUUUAAACUCUGAUUGAAUCCUAAUAAGUGUACUUUUGGUGUCCGUUCAGGAAAACUAUUGGGUUUCAUUGUAAUCCAGAAAGGUAUUGAAGCAGAUCCUAAUAAAGUCAGAGUUAUUCAAGAUAUGUCUGCACCAAAGACAGAAAAGCAAGUUACAGGGUUCCUCGGAUGUCUGAAUUACAUAUCCAGAUUCAUAUCUCACAUGACUGUGAUGUGUGGGCAAAUAUUCAAGCUUCUCCGUAAAGAUCAAGGUUGUGUUUGGACAGAAGAUUUCCAGAAAGCUUUUGACAAUAUCAAGGAGUAUAUGCUUGAACUUCCUAUCUUGUCUCCUUCAGUGGAAGGAAGAUAUCUGAUUAUGUAUUUGACUUGUUAGAAGAGUCCAUGGGACGUGUGCUUGGACAACUAGAUGAAACUGGUAGAAAGGAGCAUGUCAUCUACUAUCUGAGCAAGGAGUUUACAAAUUGUGAAUCUCAGUAUUCCAUGCUUGAGAAGACUUGUUGUGGUUUAGCUUGGGCUACCAAACGUUUACGCCAGUAUAUAUCAAUCAUACCACUUGGUUGAUAUCCAAAAUGGAUCCAAUCAGGUAUAUUUUUGAAAAGCCUGCUCUGGAAGGAUAGCUCGUUGGCAAAUGCUAUUGUUUGAAUAUGAUAUUGAGUACCAUACUCAGAAGGCGGUUAAAGGAAGUAUUCUUGCAGAUCAUUUGGCUCACUAGCCAAUUGAUGAUUAUCAAUUCAUCAGGUUUUACUUCCCUGAUAAAGACAUUAUGUACUUAAAAGCUAAAGAUUACGAUGAACCGUUGCCUGAAGAAUGGCAAGAGCCUGCAUCUUGUUGGGGUUUAGUGUUUGAUAGAGUUAUUAAUGCUUAUGGUAAUGGAGUUGGGGAAAUCAUUUUUACUCCUAAGGGUUCACACGUCCCUUUUACUGCAAGAUUGAUGUUUGAUUGUACGAAUCAUAUGGCAGAAUAUGAAGCUUGUAUCAUGGGUCUUGAAGAGGCCAUUGAUUUGAGAAUUAAAAUCCUUGAUGUGUGUGGAGAUUCAGCCUUGGUGGUUAAUCAAAUUAAAGGAGAAUGAGAGACUCGUCAUCCUGGCUUGAUUCCUUACAAAGAUUAUACAAGGAGGUUGCCAACUUUCUUCAAUAAAAUAGAGUUUCAUCAUAUACCUCGUGAAGAGAAUCAGAUGGCAGACGCUCUGGCUACUCUGUCUUCUAUGUAUAAAGUAAAUCAUUGGAAUGACGCGCCCAGUAUCACAAUUAUGCUCCUUGAUAGACCUGCUCAUGUGUUUGCAGUAAAAGAAGUUACGGAUGAUAAGCCUUGGUAUCAUGAUAUUAAAGUUUUCCUCCAAAGUUAGGAAUACCCGCUUGGGGCAUCCAGCAAAGAUAAGAAGACUUUGAGAAGACUGGCUGGCAAUUUCUUUAUGAAUGAAGAUAUGUUGUACAAGAUAAACUUUGACAUGGUCUUGCUCAGAUGCGUGGAUAGACAUGAAGCAUACAUGUUAAUGCAAGAAGUUCAUGAAGGAUCCUUUGGUACUCAUGCCAAUGGACAGGCAAUGGCUAAAAAUAUGUUAAGGGCGGGUUACUAUUGGGUGACAAUGGAAUUUGAUUGUUGUAAAUAUGUGAAGAAGUGCCAUAAAUUUCAUAUUUAUGCUGAUAAGAUUCAUGUGCCACUGACACUUCUCAAUGUUAUCUCAUACCCAUGGCCUUUCUCUCUGUGGGGGAUCAAUAUGAUUGGUAUGAUUGAACCCAAAGCUUCGAAUGGACAUCAUUUCAUCCUGGUAGCUAUUGAUUACUUCACCAAAUGGGUUGAAGAAGCAUCUUAUGCUAAUGUGAUCAAGAAGGUUGUGGUCCAAUUUAUCAAGAAUCAGAUUAUUUGCCGAUAUGGUCUAUCAAGUAAGACCAUUACUAAUAAGGGUCGAACUUGAAUAACAAGAUAAUGAAAGAGCUUUGUGAAGACUUUAAGAUUUAACAUCACAAGUCUUCUCCUUGCAGACCUAAGAUGAAUGGGGUUGUUGAAGCUGCAAAUAAGAAUAUUAAGAAGAUUAUCCAGAAGAUGGUUAUGACGUAUAAAGAUUGUAAUGAGAUGCUCUCGUUCACUUUGCAUGGAUACCGUACGUUUAUCCGCACUUCAACAAGGGAAAUUCAUUUCUUUAUUGUGUAUGCAUGGAAUCCGUACUCCCUGUAGAGGUUGAGAUACCAUCAAUGCGAGUCCUGAUGGAAGCCAAUUUAUCUGAGGUUGAAUGGUGUUAGAGCAUAUAUGAUCAGCUGAAUUUGGUUCAAGAGAAGAGACUGACGGCCUUAUGUCAUGGCUAGUUAUAUAAAAAGAGAAUGAAGAAAGAAUUUGACAAGAAAGUUCGACCCCGCGUAUUCAGAUAAGGUGACCUUGUGCUUAAGAAGAUCUUGUCUUUCAACACUAAUUCUAGGGGCAAGUGGACUCCUAAUUAUGAAGGCCCGUAUGUUGUUAAGAGAGCUUUCUCUUAUGGUGCAUUGAUUCUUACAACUAUGGAUGGUGAGGAGCUCCCUCAUCCUGUGAAUGUCAAUACAGUCAAGAAAUACUUCUCCUAGAAAAAUAAAAGAAUAACUCACUAAGUUGAAAACCCGAAAGGGAGGCUUAGGAAAAAAUGAACAUUUCGGUGGAUUGAAAACCCGAAAGGGCGGUCCAGGAAAAAAUUAGAGACAUAAAUAUAAAAUAAUCACCCUCGGUAGAUUGACCCCGAAAAAGGAAAUCUAGGCAAAAGUUAGGGAUUAUGGCAAGUAAUUGCAUCAGGCCAGUUUGAAGCAACAAUGCCUAUCACAUGUUCCUUUUCCGUCAUCCUCGACCGAAGUCCAGAGCAUAGUGGAAUUCAAAGUUGUUAGGGAGAAUAGCAGUCAUUAUAUCUCAAUGUAUCCCUUUCCGUGUAUUUACCAUUUUCCAACUUUAUAAUGAUUCGUGGAGUCACACCAUUUGUGGACUCCAUCAAUAAAAUUUGAGUAUUUUGCCCAUUUGUUUGUUAUUCUUAUUUUGUUUUAGUUUAGGAAAUUUCAUUUAUUAUUUACCAUCAUUUUUGAAGCAAAAUAUAUAUUUAAACAAUCAUAUUCUUAAAAAUUUACAAAAAAAGAUAUGUAUUUUCCUCGACUUGUGAAUACAAAAGAGGAAUCUUAAUGGUAAUUCCAAGGAUGGUAAGAUCCUGAAGAAUGGAAUUCAGUGACUUCCCCAGGCCAAAUUUUCUUUUGUUACGUAUAAUAGUCUCCCCUGGAUCAGAUUGCGAGAAUGGUAGAAUCCCUAACGAAUCUCUUCCAGCAUCUCCAUCUUGUUCAGAUUAGUCAAGUAUCCGGUUGUACUAUGUUAUCAAUCUCACACUUUUGUGCUUGUUUUGUCAACAUAAUCAUACGCAUGUGCAUAUCAUCAUGAGGUUUAUUUACCAUUUUGCAUUUCUCGAUGCUCCCCCUGCUCUCUGGAACUUUUCUCCCCACAGAGUGUGUGCGUCUUCUCUCCAAUAGAGUGUCAACCUUAAGCAGAAAGAGUUUAUCUUUUCUAAUUCCCCACUGAGUUUGAUCCUCAUGGAAGAUUUUGUUUCAAUUUUUCUCUCCAGUUCAUUAUCUGGAUGGAAUCAAUCUCCAGUUGAGUUCAUGUCCUCAUUGGAUUGAGUCUUCUUUGACCGUUUCUCUCCAGUUCAUUCCUGGGUUGAACUUUGGUCCCUUUUGAGAUUAUUACCUUUGUUAAGCUAUCACUUGGCUUAUAGUAGGUAAUAUCUCUUUUGCCUUUGGCUUAUUACCUUUGUUAAGCUAUCACUUGGAUGAUAGUAGGUAAUAUCUCUUUUACCUUUGACUUAUUACUUUUGUUAAGCUAUCGCUUGGCUGAUAGUAAGUAAUAUCUCUUUCACCUUUGGCUUAUUACCUUUGUUAAGUUAUCACUUGGCUGAUAUUAGGUAAUAUUUCUUAUCUUUGGUUGGUUACCUUUGUUAAGUUACCACUUAGUUGGUAGUUGGUAAUCAUUAUGUUUUGGCUUAUUACCUUUUUUAAGUUAUCACUUGACUGAUAGUAGGUAAUGAUUCCUCUUACCUUUGUUUGGUUACCUUUGUUAAGCUAUCACUUGGCUGUUAGUUGGUAAUCAUUCCAUUUUAGCUUAUUAUCUUUGUUAAGCUAUCACCUGGUUGAUACUUAGGUAAUAUUCCUCUCAUAUUGGAGUUGGAGUUUUCCCCUUUUGAUGAUUUCUUUUCCCUGGCGAGGUCUUGCUUUGAUAAGUAUUUCCCCGUUGGAUCUUUAGUUUGUUUUCUAAUUGUGCAUUGGUUAUUCUCGAGUCUUUCCUUUUCCCCUACGGAAUUUUGUUUGUCCCUAGCCGGGUAUCCCUGUAGAAACUAACCCCCCCCCCCCACAACCCACACACACACACACACACAGAGAUAUUUUGGUUUGCAUUCAUAUCAUAUCAUAAGCAUCUUGCGGUAUCUUAAGGCCAAAAAAAUGGGUCUUUAAUAUUUAAGUCUCUUUAAUCUUUUCGAGACAAAGAUUUCAACCUUCAUAUCUCUAAAUUGAAGAAACUUAAAUAGGGUCAUCUGUCAUACCCUAAUUUUUAACCCUAAGAUCCCACAUAUCAUUUGCAUCAUUUGCACACAAACAAUAUCACAUCUUGGUCCUUUAUCCAUCUUUAGGUUUGCUUUUUGUUGGCUUAUUUUACCUUUGUGUUUACAUGAUUAAUUUCUUAUCUAACCACUGAUCAAAAUAGCAAAAAAUAUGUAUUGUUUCCCUUAAGUUUAUUAUGAAAGGUAAUGGUUUUUCAAUCAAAAUCAUCUCAAAGUCUUUGGCUUACUUUUCAAAGAAAGUCAAAGGUUCAUGUGUUUAUUUCCAUGCCUUCUUCAAUAAGCAACUUCAAGCUUUGAUAAAUUUAAGCAAUAGGAAAUCAAGGACACCUUAUCUUGAGUUCAUAUGAUCACCCAUGUGCUUUGAAAUUCAAGGAAAGUCCAAGUACACAAGCUUGUUCCAAGAGGUUUGACCAAAAGUCAACCAUUUUAAGUCAAAGUUCCAAGGAUCAUAACUCUUUCAAUUCUCAACAUUUUUGAAUUCUUCUUUUUGCAUAUGACUAUUCUCAACAUCUUAUACAACUUCUCUUUACAUGACAAGAGCCAAUUAUGCUCGGAGGAUCAUCAAAUGUUUUGAGACAUUAUAGGUCAUUUGUGGACUUAGUGAAAUUUAACCUAUUUUCAAAUGACUUUUUCCCAACUUUCAAAGACCAUAACUUCUUAAAUUUUCAACAUAUGUGGCUGAUUAUUUUUGCACAAUAUCAUUUGUGAUGCCAUCUACAAGUUUUCUUCAAGGACCAAGGUUAGAAUAUGCUUUGAAGGUCAUGGAAUUCAUUGAGACAUUACAAAUUAUUUUCAGCCAUGAAGUACUCAAAUGUUUCUAAGUUAUAUGAUCGGUUUUUCAUGUCAACUUCAACAUGACAUAACUUUAUGCUCAAGCUUCCAAAUUCAACCUUUAUUGGCACAUUGUAAUCUUUUCCAUGAUAUUAACACAUUUCAAAAAGAAUGGGAUCAAAAAGUCUCCUGAGUAGAGUACCCCAUUGGGUUGAAUAUGGUGACUUGUAACUGAAGAAAUAGCCAUUGCCAGAGUCUUGAACUUCAUUAAUCUCAAUUACAAGCCAAAUUUGCAUGUGUUUUGGACCUAAACAUGUUUAACCAAGUCUCCAGAAGAUAAUUAACUCUUAAAAUGCAUCAUUUGGCUGAGUUUUGAGGAGUUUCAAGUCACACUUUUCUCACAUUCAGAUCAAAUUCAUUUUGCAUGAAUUCUGCAUCAUUUCACACGUAUUUGGAUCCAAUCAUAUUCCUUAUAAAUAUAGGGAGCUAUUGCAUUCAUUUCCAAGCUUUGGAGAGCCAAGAAAUCCCUACUGCAACUUGAAAUUUUUCCAGAAAAUACAACGAUCGUGUUUUGAGUUUCAGCUUGUUUCAAUCUAAUUUCUUGAUUCCAUUAGCACCUUCGGAAUCCUCUGAAACUUUUGCAACAAUUCCCAAAUUCUGAGACCUUCUGAAGUGCUCUAACCAGAUCUAGUUUCAUCAACUUCUGAUCACCAUUUGGAUAAGGUAGUUCUGAGCAUCAUUUGAACUCAAACAAGUUACCAUAAUCUGAUGAUUUCCCCUAACUUAUUUGGUGUUGAUUGAUCGUGUUCAUCAUUUAAUUUUAUUUUUCGUGGCUUGCUUGUUUCUGAAACUUCUAUGAAAUUCCCUUUGCUCAGUUUACAUAAAUGAAUUUGGAGCAUGAGGUUGAAUUCUGGAUGAGAAGAGGAUCACAAUUGUGGUGGUCUCGUGUUUUGAAUUUACCAAACGACGAAGCUCCAGUGAGAGCUCACCAGAGAAGACGGCCGUAUUUUUCUCAGGUUGUCUGAGUUUGGUCAGACACGUUUGAGGAAUGAAAUAUUAUGAUUGGUUGGAUUUAAAUUGGAUUCUGUGUUUGACUUAUAGCGCAUUUCAUCGUGUUCUCUAACAUAUGAAGUGUUGGAUCUGCCACGUCAAUUAAUGAGGUGUGAUCCAACGUUCCGUGUUUUUUAUGAUUUUAAUUCUUUUUCUUUUAUUAUUUUUAAUUUCUUUUUCUUUUAAAAUUCAUAGUAAUUUCAUUUUUUAUCCAAAAUAAUUUCUAAAAUUCUCUUUUGUUUUUCUUCAUCUGAUUUUUAUUUUUUCACAUUUUAUUUCACUGAUUUUCUAUUUUUCAUGAAUUUUGUCUUUUCCCCUUUGUUCUAAUUGGUUUAAAAAUAAUUUUCUGCAUUUUUAAAUUCUGAAAAUUUUAUUAUAUGCUUUUUAUUUCAUUUCCAACCUUCCAUAAUAUUCUUAGCCAUUUAUUUGGUGUUUUGAAGGACUUUAUGGAUUUUCCAUUUUAUUUCUAUUUUAAAAUUACUUUUGGUGCAUUUUUUAUUUCAUUUAAUUUCAUUUUAUAUAUGUGAACUUCUGUUGGCCAUGGACCAUGAUGGUUUGGACUUCAAGUUUCAUCAAACUCAAUGGAUCUUGGGUGUUGAUGGGGUGAGUAUCCUAAUCCAUCAAAAUGGAUGAUUGAUUUUGAUGAUGACUUGAUCAAACCUUUGGUCCAAUUUGGGUAUGACUUUUCUUGUCUCCUUCUUCUUCAUAUUUUUCUUUUCCCUUUGAUCAAUUGGAUGACUUGUGUCCAUCUUAUUCAUGAUGUAUGGAUUGGUACUUGAUAAACUUUCGUCAUUUCAAAUCUACCUCCUAAUUGAUCAUGGAUCAUUUAAGGUACUUUAGAUUGAUGCAUAAGUUUGCCUUAUGUGUCAUGAAGUAUGGAUUGAAGUAAUGGACCAUCCUCCUAGCCUUCGUGCUUGAUCAUCCCCUUUCUUUCUUUCUUUUUUUAUGGCAUUACUUUAGGAGAAUGAUUUACAUGUCAUUUCUUUAUCAUGUAUUAACACAAACCUUAUUAUUGAUCGGCCUCGGAUAGUUGUGACUUCUACAUAAGUCCAAUUACGAUUGUUUAACAUAGCACUAAAUUUGUCCCAAAAGUAAAGGCAUUUUUAUAAGUGAGAUUGUAAGUCUUUUAUUCCUCAUGGUAUUUUGUGAAAAUGUUGCUACUUUUCCAUUUGUGAGAGCUAGUAGUAUACUUGUUGAUCCUUAUCCAAGUUAGAUCUCUUCUCAUGAUAAUGCAAAGUUCUCAUACUUGUGGGUGACUAGUUGAGUAUUCUCCUUAAAGUGACAAAAUGUCUUUCCAUUAAAAAUGAAUCAAAACAAACACCUUUGUCAUUUUUACCACGAACUACGGGGUUUUGAUCCUCCAUUGCACUUUGUUGGUACGUAGGCAUGAGACUUCAAAAGUCUUGGCAAACACAAAAAUAAGAAAAAUAUACUUCAUUUCCCAUCUCUCCAAUCUUUUGCAAAUAACACCCUUUUCAAACCAAAAUGUACAUAUUUUCAAAGAGGUUCCCAUGGAAUACCAUGGAUGUUUAGGGUGAUAAUACCUUAUCUUUGUAUAACUAACACCCAGACAUUUGUUCUCUUUUUAUUAGUUUUGUUUUAAAACUUCUUCGGGUUUUGUUCAUACUUUUUUCCUUUUCCUUUGGAAACAAUAAAGGCGUGGUGGUGACUCUUGCUUUAUGAGUUAAGUUAAUCGAUAGCUUAAUCUCAAAAAAUUUACCGCUACAGCGUAUGGAGGCCCAAAUUGCUGAAGCCCAAAAACACUGUCUAUUUAACUGGAAAAUGAGAACUUUCACUAGUUGGACGAUUUUAGACGGCAAAAACAUGUUUUGAAGGUUGGAGAACUCAGAUUUUCGAGGUGGAUUCAUAUUUUCUAGAGCUUUUUGAGAUUGAAUAUCAAUUCAUCUAAUUUUUUUGUAAUGGAGACAUUAUUUAUCAUGUUUUAUUUUAUUUCUAUGGGUACCUAAACCCCCCAGUGCUAGGGGGUGUCCCUGAUUCAGAUUUGUAAUGAAUUCAAAUUCCUCUUUGCAAUAACAACCUUAUUUUAUCAUACUUGAUUUAUUCUCUUGACUGAUUUAGUGCUUUCUCUGUUGCAUAAACUGAGUUUGAUUUAUGAUGAACAAUAAGGCUAGACUUCCAUUGUUCAGGAUCUGUUUGAGAAUAUUUUAUAGUAAAUGUCGCCUAGGACUAGGGAUACCCUAUAAAAACCGGAUUAUUCUUGAUAGAAUAAUGCUUAAUUUCAUUCGUACUUUUCUAUGGAUAUAGGAGUUAGGCUGAAUGAUUAAAGGUUUUCUUACUAAGGACUUAGGAGUAAACACUUGUAAGAAUCGGUAAUUAAUUAUCUAAAAUAUGUUGUUGCAAUGUUAGUUUAGAGUCGUCACAUAAUUGAAUCAUACAUUAUCCCUAACAUAUUACUCAUAUCUUUAUAGACCAUACAAUUACUUUGUUUACUUUAUUCACAAUUACUUUCAUAAUUUAACCAAUCAAUCCAAAAACCCUAAUGCUUUUAUUUAAUUGAAAUUUAUCCAAAACUUUGUAUCGUCAAGCAGUCCUUGAGAUCGAUACUGGGGAUUUCCCCUCUUAUUACUACAUUGGCAAAUUAGUACACUUGCUAAUUUACUGAUCAAUAACUUCCUUCAUAACCAUCAACACCAGUAGGACACAAACAUGAUGGACGAGUUAGAGGUAUUAGAUCCCAAGCCUCUAUUUGGUGAGAUAUGGGAGGUGCCGAUCCCAGGGAACUUCAAGUUGCCAUUUAUGGCUAAGUUUAACGGACGCGGUGACCCAUAUGAACAUGUAGCAUCCAUCAAAUUUUAUAUUGCCAUAAUUGGGUAACAUGACUCCUUAAAGUGUAAGCUCAUGUCUGGAACCUUCAGAGUCACAAAUAUGAGAUGGUUUAUGGGCCUCCCUGAAUCUCCGUAACCAACUAUCAAGACUUGGUGAAGAAUUUGAUUCAUCAAUUCUUCACAAACAAGCAUAGGAAGAUGAUCGGCACCAGUCUAUUCAACAUUCACCAAGGUCCCUUGGACUCACUGAGGGAGUAUCUAUCCCACUUCAACGAAGCAACAAUCAAGGUAAUCCAUCCAAAUCAGGAAAUAUUCCUAGGAGAAACUAAGUCUCUUCAGGAUGACUUAACUAAGUCUCGCCUGAAGGACUCAACUAAGUCCCAUAUAAGGGACUCAACUAAGACUCACUGAGAAGACUCAACUAAGUCUCACCUGAGGGGCUCAAAUAUGUCUCGUUGGGAAGAAUAAACUAAGUUUCACCUGAGGGACUCAACUAAGUCUCGCUUGAGGGACUCAACUAAGUCUCGUCAGGAAGACUCAACUAAGUCUCUCUUCAGAGGCUCAACUAAGUCUCUCCUGAGGGAAUCAAUUAAGACUCGUCGAGAAGACAACUAAGCCUCGCCUGAAAGACUCAACUAAGUCUCAUUGGGAAGAAUCAACUAUGUCUUGCUUAAGGGAUUCAACUAAGUCUCGUCAGGAAGACUCAACUAAGUCUCGCCUGAGGGACUUAACUAUGUUUCGUCAGGAAGACUUAAUUAAGUCUUUCCCGAGGGACUCGUCUAAGUCUCAUUUGAGGUAUAUAACUAAGUCUUGCAUGAGGGACUCAAUUAAGCCUCUUCAAUAAGACUCGACUAAGUAUUUCCUGAGGGACUCAACUAAGUCUCGUCGGGAAGAUUCAACUACGUCUCGCUAUAAGGACUCAACUAAGUCUCGUUAGGAUUAUUCAACUAAGUCUCGUCUAAGGGGCCUAAAUUUGUCUCGCAUGAGGGAAUCAACUAAGUCUCACCUGAGGGACUCAACUAAGUCUCAUCAAGAAGGUUCAGCUAAACCUCGUCCAGAAGGUUCAUCUAAAGCCUAAAAAAUUAAAGGUAAUAGUCAAGAUUCGACUAGGAUUUCGUGGAAAGUUUGAAUAUGAGUAAGGGAUUAAAACACUUCGGACUCUACGAGUCCAUGUACUUGAGGGAAUGUGUAGUGGUGUAUUGUAAGGGAUCAUGGGGGCGGGUCAGAGGCUUAUGCUUCACCCAUCGUUAUUUCCAAGUUGCCUUUUUAUUGGUUAGAGUGCCCCUCUUUCAGAUAGAGUAUCCCUUAUCUGAUACAUCAGUUGGUUGUUUCCCGUCUCCUUCCAUAAAGUGAAAUCGUACAUAAAACGGGUAUUUGGUAAACAAACAUUACAUGGGAAGUUGUGGGAUUUAACUAUACUUUCUGGAUUUUAGGGAAUCAACUACCCAUUUUUGGAGUGGUUGCUACGUCUUAGGGAGACUUGGGUUAAGGCUUAGGAGAUUAUAAAUAAAUAAGUAUUAUGAUAAACAAUAGUAUAUACACAUAAAUACAUACAUACAAGAGCUUCUCAAUCCAUCUUAAUGACUAGGGGUUGUCACCCAUUUAUACUUUUCGCAAGUACAAUAUUGAAGACUAAUUUUGACAUCUUGUAACAUAAAUAUAUUAUAUUUCACAAUUUUUUCAAAAAAAAAAUGUAUCUUAAAAAUAAUUUUUAUAAAAAAAAACUAUUUGAAAGCGAUUUUUUUUUAAAUUAUGAUAUCUAAAAAAUGGUAUAGUAAAAUAAUUAAAUAUUUUAAAAAUAACUAUUUAAACUAAUUUUUUUAAUGUUAUGAGGUAAUUGAUAAUUCAAGUGUUGUAACUGUUACCACGGGCGUGUAACAGGUCACAAUUGUGUGAAAAAGUAACACGAAUGUUAAAAAAAGGGAAAUUCUCGUUGGUGUAACCGAUUACGCAUUCUCAGUAACCGGUUACCCCUAUUUUAUUUUUAGAGUUUGUUUCAACUGUAACUUACAGGUACGAGAUUUUCAGUUUUCUGUUAUUUUUCAUGUUGUAAAUUGUGUUCCAAUCCAUUUGUAAUUGUAUAUGUACCUUGGAGGUAUUAUGAAUGAAAACUAAUGAUAUUUCUCACCCUCAAUUACUCUCUCUCUCUCUCUCUCCACGUUCAAUUUCUCCAUUAUUCACCAAACUUGUGGUUCCAAGUUCUAACAUUUGGUAUCAAUAGCCUAGUUCUAAUCCACAAACACCUAGUGUGCAACAUGAAUUUGUCUCCAAUAAAGAAUAAAUGAAAACCUACCCAUCAUUUAUGCGAAGAAUUAUGAAAAAUGGUGCAAACAAAUAAAGAUGUUGUUUGGCUACCAAUAUGUUUUUGAAGUGAUCAAGAAUAGGGUGAAUCCUCUUGUCGAAGGUGUAACUGAUGCACAAUGAGCAAUAGAUAAUAAAGAGAAGAAGAAAGGUUUCAAGGCAUUUUUUUAUCCACUAAUGUGUGGAUGGUGAAAACUUUGAGAAAGUUAGUGAUUGUGAAUCAUUGAAGCAAGCGUGGGAAAUCUUAGAGAAGGCAUACGCAGGGGAUGACAAGGCAAAGGUGGUGAGGUUACAAACUCACAAACGCCAACUUGAAUUGAUUCAAAUGGAAGAAAAGGAGACGACCAAUGAUUUCACAAUGAGAAUCACUCGAUAAUUGAAUCAUGUGAAGGCAUGAGGAGAAACAGUCACGGGGCAAUAUGUUUUCGCGAAAAUCUUGUAUUCUUUAACGUCAAGAUUUGACAAUGUGGUCGUAGUGAUUGAGGAAUCGAACGACCCUGUGAUAUUAGCAAAUAGGAGCUAUAAAGCUUUCUUGAGACUCAUGAGCAAAGGAUGGAGGAGAGAAAUUAUGAUAAGGCAAAGAUGGAGCUAGCUUUGGAAGCUUGUUUCAACGAGAUGGACAAGAGAUCGAAAGGAAAAUGGCCCAUGAAGAGUAAAGGGAAUUUUUUAGAAUUUUGGUGGAAGAGAGUCCUAAAGUUCCAAGAAUUCGACUUGUUAAAGGGGUGAGAACACGUGCAACAAAAAUGGUGGUCAAGGAAACUUUAGAGGUGAAAGGAAAAGUAUUGAUAAAAGCAAGGCGUGGUGCUUUAAAUGUCAAAUGUUCGGCCAUUUUGAAAAAGAGUGCAAUACAAACAAGAAGGAACCUCAAGGAUAUGGAGCCAAGGUUAUAAGACAAGUGUUUGAUGAGGAGAACACACUUUUCAUCAUGAUCACAUAGGGGGGAUGCAGUAGCAGCAUGCUGCGGGACAGCAGCAACGACAAUUUUGGAAACGCUGCAGAAGCAUGUUGUAAUCGGUUAGUAAAAGUUGUAAGUUACAAGAAGAAGAAAAUGUCAUGAUGAGUACGAAAGGUGCAGUUCAGUACAUCAAUAAAUGGUAUAUGGACUUUGGAUGUUCUAAUCAUAUGAUGGAGAGGAAAUAUUGGUUUGUUAAAAUCAAUCAUGCCAUGAAUAACAAAGUGAAGUUCGUGGAUGACACCACUAUAGUAGUCGAUGGGAUCGGUGAUGUUUUGAUCGUGAGAAGGGAUGGUGGGCAUUACUUGAUCAAAUAUGUAUUGUACAUUCUAGAAAUUAAAUGUAACCUUCUAAGUAUUUGGUCAAUUGCUUGAGAAGGGUUACAAGAUUCACACGGAAAGCAAAGGACAACACGUUAUGGAUGCAAACAGGGUUUUAGUCCUUAAAGUUCCUAUGGCUUCCAAUAGAACUUUAAAGUUUGAGUUGAAGGUUAUAAAGCAUAGGUGUCUUGCUACAGCGACUAUUCAAGAAGAAUGGAUAUGGCAUUGUUUUAUUGGGCAUCUUAAUUUUCGAGAUCUCAAUGCAUUGCAAAAGAACAAAAUGGUAAUGGGGUUUCCAUUGAUAAACAUACUGGCUGAAAUUCGUGAUAAAUGUGUGCAAGCGAAGCAACAUAAGGGUGAAUUCAACAAGUAUGUAGGUUAUAGAACUAAGAGUCACCUUGAGGUGGUGUAUUUGAAUGUAUAUGGACCAAUGCAAGUUGACUCGAUUGGUGGUUAUAGAUAUUUUGUCACAUUCACCGACAAUCAUAGUAGAAAGCUAUAGACAUACCUAAUCAAGAGAAAGGAUGAGGUAUUUGAAGUGUUUAAGAAGUUUAUGUCCAUGAUUGAGAGGCAAAGUGAUCACAAGCUCAAAGUUCUCAAAACGGAUGAUGAAGGCGAAUAUGUCUCAAAAUACUUUGAGAGAUUUUGUGAUCAAGAAGGGAUAGUACAUGAGGUUGUACCACCUUAUACACCGCAACAAAAUAGUGUCGCCGAAAGGGAUAAUCUAUUGAUUAUGAACAUGGUAAGAAGCAUGUUAAAGGGGAAGAACUUACCGAAAGAGUUAUGGGGAGAAGCAUUAUCCACAAUUGCAUAUUUGUUGAAUAGGUGUCUGAAAAAGAAGCUUGAGAAGGUAACACCAGAGGAAGCAUGGUCAGGAUUCAAACUGAAUUUGAACCAUUUGAAAUUUUUUGGUUACGUAACGUAUUGACAUGUUCCGGGGCAGCUUAGAAAGAAGUUUGAUGAUAAGGGAGAGUUAAUGAUACUUGUAGGGUAUCACUCUACCAGUGCUUACAAGUUGUAUGAUUCAGCAAACAAGAGGAUUAUGAUCAACAGAGACGUCAUUUUUAACGAGAUCAAGCAGUUCUAGUAUCUUGUGACUGGUUAUGUAAAAGCUCUAACCAGUUACAGCAUUGAAAAUUCAGUUUCUGCAGAAUUUGAGAGUGCAAAAAUGGUCGUCGUCGAAGCUUGAAUUGAAUAGAAUGUGAGAAGAUCAACAAUGCAAAGAGGUUUGCCUAAAAUACUCCAAUAUUGUAAGAUGUUCUGAAACAGAGAAGUCAAUGAUGAGGGUGAUUUCUUCCAUUGUUCACUUAUGGCCGAAUUGAAACCCGUUAAAAUAGAAAAGGCUUUAAGUGAUCCAGAAUGGAUUUGUGCUAUGAAGGAUGGGCUGGAAUCUAUUGAGAAGAACAAUACUUGGGAUUUGUUUGGUCUACCGGAUGGGAAUAAGCCAAUUGGUGUGAGAUGGGUGUUCAAAGUGAAGGCAAAUAUCAAGGGUCAAAUAAUCAAGCAUAAGGCUCGAUUAGUUUCAAAAGGAUUCUUGCAAAGAUAAGGCAUAGACUUUGAAGAGGUAUUUGCAUCGGUUGCUAGGAUUGAAACCAUUAGGCUAGUUGUUGGUAUUGAAAAUAAUAAAAAUUUGCCCAUCUAUAAAAUGGACAUUGAUCCGCUGUCGUGCACGGGUUAAAACGAGUAAUUAAAAACAGUAGGUUAAGGAAGCAACACUCGAGAGUCAUAUCGCAAGGACUCUUGAAUUGAAUUUUACCAACUGAAAAUGAUGGGGGUUUUAAGGUUUAGGUUUUGAAUAAAAUAACAGUAAAAAGGAUUUGAUUACAAAUAAGCUAAAAUGGUUAAUCCUACUGAUUUGGGUUUCGACUUAUCAUUGGCUAUUCUAAAUCCAAUCCCCUAAGAGGCUUCGAUUCUAUUCGAAUAUGAAAUCAAUUAGACAAGCGUUAUCAAUAUCAUGUGAGUUAUGUUCCUAUUUACCUCAUUAAGCAUGAAAAUUUAAAGAUUACGCUAAGCUAACAUACAAGCUAAGUUAACAUGCAAUUAAAAUUAGGAACAUGCAUACAAUCAAAUUUUAUCACUUUUAUCCUAUGAGUAGCAAUCAAAUUAAGAAAACAAAAUUGAUCAAAUUAAGAAAACGAAUACAUAGGUAGAAUUGAACAUAAAAAAAAUUGAAUUGGAAUUAAAAUAACCUCAAAAUGGUGGAACCCCUAAUCAGCAGAAUUUGCCUUAAGGAUUAGUUCUCCAUGAAAAUCGUACAAAGCUAGGAAUUUCGUGAAUAGUGAAUAAUGUGUAUGAACAAUAUCCGUGGCUUAUUUAGGUUAACGGAAACAAAGAAUUCGGGUUUUAAUCCCAACUGGAUCAGAAAACAUAAAAACCGGCCCAAAACUGGCACAAAACUAAUUAUUUUCUAAAGUUUGAAACUAAAACGAUUUAUUCGAGUCUUUUACACUCCGAAUUUGCUUCUGACUUCAACAUGAAACUUUUAUCUUAUCCUCUCAGAUUUCCAACGCUUAUUAGAACGCGUCAAUCUAAUUCUCAUAUCCCAAGUUAUUACCUAUGAAGCGAGAGGGCAUAAGUAGUUUUUUAUUCAGAACAUACCAUGCGAAAUUAAAAUAAAUGUAAAAAUAAACUAAGCUAAGGAAACUAAGCUAUGAAAGUAGAAUUGUUGCAACAUAAUAGUAAAAGAAUGUGAGUGAAAAUGCACUGAAUAAAUUCCCCCACACUUGAACUUUUGCACUCCAAACAAAAUUCUAAAGUUAAAAUUCAAAACAAAAAAAUAGGAAGAAAACAGAGCAUGCAAAUUCAAAGACUUUCAAAAUCACAAGGGUGCAAGUAAAAUCCUCAUUCUAAGCUUCAAGAAAUAUGGUGUUAGUGAGUAAAAUUCAAUGAUAUUCAAAGGAAGUAAGAAGAUAAUUUACCAAAGAGUAUAUCAUAAGCAGCAAGAUCCUCAUGAAAAAAUUCUCUCAACUCUCAAGUGUUUAGGUUUCUAUUUAAACUCAAAGCACAUCAUGAAAACUAGCACUGCCAUAAGCUUGAAAAGACUACAACAUACACAAGUUAAAUACAUGCAUACAAAGAUGAAAAGGACUUUCAUUAGGGUUGUAACUUGGCCAAGGUAAGAAUAAGAUAGAUCCUAAGGGAUACUAGGCUAUAAUUCAAAAGGUUAAAAGAAAAUUGAAAGAAACUGUGGGAGUUGAACUAAAUAAAACUUCAUUCACUUUCAAACAACAACCUUGCAGUUAUUUAUCUUCUCUUUUUUAUUUUUAUUCUUCUUCUUUUUUUCUGAAGGAAUAUGUAUUGUCAUCCUUCUUUUCUUUUUCUAUUUUUUUUCUUUUUCUAUUUUUUUCUUUUUCUAUUUUUUUCUAUUUUCUGUCAACUUUUGAAUGAAAUAUCACAACUAUAAUUAUUCAACCCCACACAACUUCAAACAAGACUCUUUCAACCCUUUGAAUAGGGUGAUAAUAUUGAUUUCCACUUUUUGGCUUGUAAUGAGUUUUAAACAAAGAAUGGGAUAAUAGGCUCAAGGGGUUUUUAAACAAGGGAUGAUAUAUUCAGGGUUAGCUUUUUGGCUAACUAGCUAAAAAAAUAAGUUGUAUUUAUCAUAUUAGUGUGCACAAGUAAACAAAAAACUUCAACAAGAUUCAAUUCAAGUUCUAGAGACUAACAUACAUGAGUGAAACACACAAGAAAUAAAAAGAUGGAUUUUUGAAUGUUAUCUAAUAUUAGGCUCAAAAUUGAACAAGGUAAAUGAUCUACUACAAAUGAUGAAUAAUUAAGGGUUUAGUCCUACCUAUCAUACUAGGAAUGCAUAGCAAAUCAAUCACGUCACACCACGAGUCUUUAACCAAUAGAACAGAGAAAUUACUCACACAACACUUGCAACCUAAAAAUCAAUGAAAAAGCAUGCAAUUUUUUUUUAAGAAAACAACAAAAAAAAAACAAAAAAAAACAAGGAAAAAUAAAAUGGUUCCCUCCCCCACACUUAAGAUACAUAUUGUCCUUAAUGAAAUAACAUAAGUAUAAAAUAAGAGAGAGAGAGAGAGAGAGAGAGAGAGAGAAGAGAUAGAAAAUAACACACCCGAGGAGUCAAGACGGAUACAUGAUUGCAUAAGCAGUCUUUCCCAAAGAUAGCUCUUCUACAAUGUCUUCUUCCAAAGUGGGACUCUCAUGGAGUAGUCUUGGGCAGUGUCCAUUGUUCUUGAAAUUUUUAGUAGUGCGUUCAUCUUUUAUUCCAGGAUCAAAGAAGGAUCUUCCAUAAGUAAAAUUGUCGAAUGGGCAAAUGAAAGUGGUCUCGUUUUUCACAACAUCGAGAAUCAAAGGAUUAAGGGGUUGCCUCACUACUUUUGUUUUAUCUUCAAGUGAGAACCUAUGGAUACUCAUAGAUGGGCUAAUGUCACGAAUGUCAACCAAGGUCCAUCCAAUUCCUUUUUUAUGUUCCUGCAAUAAUUUAUCUUCCUGCUCAAAUUGAAGCUUCGAUGAAUAAUAUAAAUCCUAGGGAAGUGGUUUAGGUUCAAAUAAGGUGGUUGUACAAUGGAUGGUUUGGCUGGGGCAGCUGGGAUGUCGAAAGCUUCAAUUGUAUAAACAGUUUCAGGUGCAUAAACAGCUUUAUCUACAACUUCAUCUGUAGAAAAAAUAUCAACCUGCAAGGUAACCUCGUCUGUAGGAAAAAUAGUAAGUAUCAUCAAAAUCAGACAAUGAUGAGAAAUCAGCUGAAAAUAAGUCAGAAUAAGUAUGAUCAACAAACUCAGAAAGCAAUUCAAUAUGAAAAACAAAAUGUUCCUCCAUGGGAUGUUUCAUAGUAUCAAAAGUGUUAAAUUUAACAAUGGUAUUAUCAAACUCCAUGGACAUUGUAUCAUCAUCAACGUCAACUUUUGUUUUUGCUAUUUUCAUUAAUGGUCUGCCUAAAAUGAUGGGUGCCAUGUUUGACCUAGUUUCUCCUUCCAUGUCCAAAAUGUAAAUAUCAUAAGGAAAAAUUAAGUCAUUAACUUGAACAAGUACAUCUUCUACUACUCCAGCAGGACGGACAUUGCUCCUGUUUGCCAACUGAAUGGUUAAACAUGUAUUCUGAAAAGGACCAAGAUCAAGAUUAUUAUAAACAGAAGUGGGCAUAACAUUAAUAGAAGUUCUUAAAUCCAAGAUGCAACUUUUGAAUUUACUAUCCCCGAUGGUGCAUUGAAUAGCAAAAGUUCCAGGAUCCUUGCACUUUUGGGGCAUGGCCUAGGUGGGAGCUGAAACAUUUUGCUUAGUUGUAUCUUUUUCAGGUGCUUUAGGUUGAAUGAAGACAGAAAAAUUUCUUCCCACAUUCACUCUCUCAUUCCCCUUCAAUCUCCUCUUAUGAGUGCAUAAGUUUUUAAGAAACUUGGUAUAUUUGGGAAUUUGCUUAAUUACAUCAAGAAACUGAAUGUUCACCUCCACCUUUCUGAAUAUGUCCAAUAUCUCCUUAUCCUUAUCUUCCUCAUCCAACUUUUUGUUUUUUACAACUCUUUGUGGAAAAGGAAUUGGUGGUACAUAGUCUUUACCAAUAACAACUUCAAAAUCAGGCAUGGGCUCAAUAACUUUUUUAUUUUUUCUAGGGUUGGUUCAACCGCUUCAACACUUUUUCCAGAUCUCAAGGAAAUUGCACUCACAUUAGGGCCUUUUGGUUUCACUACUGUUUGGACAGGUAAUUGGUUUGAUCCUUGAAUUUGUUGCAUGACAUUCAUUGAAGUGGAAAGCUGUCCAAUCUGUGUCUGCAAGUUCUGAAUACUAGAAUUUGUUCGCUUAUGAAAUUGGAGAAUAUUUACAGCCAAUUGCUUGACAAGGUCAUCUAGUGAAGGUCCGGAAGGUGCAUAGGUGGUUACUUGUGGGGUUUUUUAUGGUGGUGGUAGCGGUAGCAUAAAGUGUUGUUGACUAGGUUAUUAUAUGGAUGGGUUCUUAUGCCAAAGGUUUGGAUGGUUACCUAUUAGUGGAUAGGUCAUGAGUGUUGUAGUACCUGUACUAGUUGUUGCUUUGAGGGUUGUAGAUUUUUGUUGCGUAUGCUUGAGGCAAAUCUAAAGUAGGACAAGUAUCUGUUGGGUGUUCAAGAGAGGUGAAAAUGCCACAUAAUCUUUCAAAUUGAGUUUUUCUUACUGCUAGUUGUCUCACCAAUGAAGUAAGCUCAUCAAUUCUGGUUUCUAAAGCCUCGUUGGAAGGAGAAGCUUGAAUUCCAUGCACUCUUUUUAUUAGAACCACAGAGUUGCUUUUGGUUGUGAAUUAUUGUGAGUUGAGUGACAUGUUUUCAAUUCGAGUCUUAGCUGCAGUUGAGGUCUUAUCAAAAAGAGCUUCUCCACUAGCAGCAUCCAAAAUACUUUUGUCCAUAGGUAACAUCCCUUCAUAAAAGUAUUGAAUUAGCAAUUGUUCAGAAAUAUGGUGUUGAGGACAACUCGACACUAACUACUUGAAUCUCCCCCAAUAUUCGGCCAAUGACUCCAUGUCAACCCCUUUAAUACCACGUAUAUAUUUUAUGAUCUAAGCAACUCUUGAGGAAGAGAAAAACCUUUCUAGGAACACUCUUUUUAGAUCAUUCCAGCUUGUGACAGAAUUUGGCUCAAAGUAAUACAGUUAAUCUUUUGUAGCUCCUUGAAGUGAGAACGGGAAUGCUCUGAGCUUUAUAUGAUCCUCUAUGAAUCCUUUAGGUCUCAAAGGUGUAGAGCAUACAACCUGGAAUUCCUUCAGAUGCUUAUGCAGAUCCUCACUUGCAAGACCAUUAAACCUUGGCAACAAGUGUAUUAAACCAGAUUUUAAUUCGAAAGGUACAACAACAACAGGAUAUUCAAUACAUAAAGCAUUAUAAUUAACACUAGGGAAAGCAAGUUGUCUCAGAGUUCUUUGAUCAGCCAUGUUAAACUCAAAAUCAGAAUCAACAAAGAAUGAGAAAACACAUAACCAAUUCAGCAAUGCAGCAACAACUAAGAAAAUACCAACAAUGUCCCUAAUAAGUAAAAACAAUUGGAAUAUGGAAAAACGAUUAAAAGAAAAGAAAAAAAUAUAAAAAUAUAAAAAUAUAAAAUUUAAACUAAUAAAGUAAAAUAAGAGUUUUGAGAAUUUUUUCGGAAUUUUUUGAAACUAUGAAAACACAAUAAAAAAAAUCAUAAAAAAUAGAAAAAUGAUGAAUUUGGGGUUUUAAGGGUAGUGUCCCGUGACUCUUUUCAAGAGUAACGAUUUUUUACUCCUGAUUUUUUUCUACUAAAUUGGCAUGGAAAAAUUUCGAUUCCGGGAUGAUUUUUCUAAAACUGGGUUCUCGGACCGGGUUUGAUGGAUACGCGCGAAUUGGCCAAAACAGCAAGAAUGGAUGGGCCAAAACGCAAGGACGAACACCUAAGACUCUAAUAAUGGUAAAAUUUGACAAGAGUCUUAGGCAACAGCGCCAAUUUGAUUCGUUGUCACGCACGGGUCAAAAACGAGUAAUUAAAAAUUGUAGUUUAGGAAACCGACACUCGAAAGUAGUAUCGCAGUGACUCUUUUAUUGAAUUUUACCAACUGAAAAUGAUGGGGGGUUUAAGGUUUAGGUUUUGAAUAAAAUAAUAGUAAAAAGGAUUCGAUUAAGAAUAAGUUAAAACGGCUAAUCCUAUUGAUUUGGGUUCCGACUUAUCACUGGCUAUUGUAAAUCCAAUCUCCUAAACGGCUUUGAUUCUAUUCGAAUAUGAAAUCAAUUAAACAAGUGCUAUCAAUAUUAUGUGAAUUGUGUUCAUGUUUAUCGCAUUAAGCAUGACAUUUUAAAGAUUAGGCGAAGCUAACAUAUAAGCUAACUUAACACGCGAUUAAAAUUAGGAACAUGCAUACAAUUGAAUUUAAUCAAUUAUAUCCUAUAAGUAGCAAUCGAAUUAAGCAAACUGAUACAUAGGUAGAAUUGAAAAGAAAUUGAAAUUGAUUUGGAAUUAAAAUAACCUCAAAGCGGUGGAACCCGUAAUUAGCAUAAUUCUCCUUAGGGAUUAGUUCUCCAUCAAAAUCGUACAAAGCUAAGAAUUUCGUGAAUAGUGAAUAUGUGUAUGAACAGUAGCCACUACUACUUUAGGUUAAAGGAAACAAGGAAUUAGGGUUCUAAUCCCAACCGGAUCGGAAAACAUAAAAGUUGACCCAAAACUUGUCCAAAACUAAUUAUUUUCUAAAGUCUGAAACUAAAAUUAUUUCUUCGAGUUUUUUACACUCUGAAUCUACUUUUAACUUCAACAUGAAACUUUUAUCUUAUCCUCUUAUCUAUUCAAAACGUAAUAGAACGAGUCAAUCCAAUUAUCGUAGCCCAAGUUAUGACCUACAAACCGAGAGGGUGUAAAUAGUUGUUUAUUCAGAAAAUACCAUACGAAAUUAAAAUAAAUGUAACAAUAAACUAUGCUAAGGAAACACACUAAAAUAGUAGAAAUAACAAAAGAUACUCUAGAAUUUUUUCAACAUAAUAGUGAAAUAAUAUGCCUGAAAAUGCACUGAUCAAACGUCAAAUCUGCUUUUUGAACGGAUCGCUUGAAGAAGGGUUGUAUGUAGAGCAACCACUAGUUUUGUUGUGAGAAACCAAGAGUUAAAAUUCUACAAGUUGAAGAAAGCAUUGUAUGGUUUGAAGCAAGCUCCAAGAUCUUGGAACAAGAGGAUAGAUGGUUUCCUAAAGGAGGUUGGUUUCAAGAAAUAUGUAUCCGAACAUGGCGUGUAUGUCAAGACGGAUACAAGUGAAGAUGUGGUUAUCCUUUGUUUAUACAUAGACGACUUGUUGAUAAUUGGAAGUGAUGGAAAAUGCAUUUCAAAGUUCAAGAGUGAACUUAUAAAAGAGUUUGAGAUGACUGACCUUAGCCUCAUGACAUACUUCAUUGGCAUUGAGUUCCACAAGCCCAAAAGGGGAUUGCUCAUGCACCAAAGAAGGCAUGCACUUGAGAUAUUGAAGAAGUUUGAAAUGGGGUAUUGUAAUGUUGUCAUUACUCUGACUUAACUGAGGAUACAGUUUUCGAAGAAUGAGGAUGAGCAAGAUGUUGAUCCAACUCAGUAUAUGAGACUGAUUGGAUCAUUUCUUUACUUGUGUAAGACGCGACCCGACGUGACGUUUAAUGUCGGUAUUGUGAGUAGAUUCAUGGAGAGAUCGAAGGUGUCUCACUUAGCAACAGUCAAGAGGAUCAUAAGAUGUCAAAUGGUCGAUUGGCUGGGGAAUUCUCUUUCUCGCAUCGGACACAUGAAGAAAAUGAAACUUACUCAGUUUUACCAAUUCCAACUGGUGUGGAGAUAAAGAUGAUCGAAAGUCUACAGUUGGAUACAUCUUUAUGUUCGGCGAAAUACCAAUUUCAUGGUGUUCGAAGAAGGAACUGAUAGUAGCACUCUCGUCUUGUGAUGCCGAGUACAUUACUGCUUCGUUAUGUGUGUGUCAAGUCGUGUGGCUAAUGAAUCUAUUGAAGGAGAUGGGCAGCAAUGAGGGUGAUGUUGUUACGCUCUUGGUUGAUAAUGUUUUCGCAAUUAAUCUUGCUAAGAACCCAAUUGCACAUGGGAGGAGAAAGCAAAAUGAGAUAAGGUUUCACUACUUGAGGGAACUUGUCAGUUAAGGAAGGUUGAGAUUGAGAUAUUGUAGAAGUGAAUACCAAGUGGUUGAUUUGUUGACUAAGGGAGGCACAAUUGAAGUGUUCAAAGAUUGAAGAUGAACAUGGACAUGGAAGACUUGGAGCACUUGAAUUAAGGUGGUGUGUUAUGAAAAAAUUGACAAUUCUAGUGUUGUAAUCAGUUACCACGGGCAUGUAACCGAUUACAGUUGUGUGAAAAAGUAACAGGAAAGCUAAAAAAAGGAAAUUCUUGUUGGUGUAACCGGUUCCGCAUUCGCAGUAACCGGUUAUCACUGUUAUAUUUUUAGAGUUUGUUUCAGCUAUAACCGGUUAUAGAUUUUGUGUUACCAGUUACAGGUACGAGAUUUUCAAUUUUAUGUUAUUUUUGAUGUUGUAACUUAUUCUCAAUCCACCUGUAAUUGUAUAUGUAUUUUGGAGGUAUUAUGAAUGAAAACUAAUGAUAAUUUUCACCCUCAAUUACACUCUCUCUAAUUAUAAUUCUCAAUCACUCUCUCUUAUCUUUUACAUUCAAUUUCUUCAUUAUUCGUCAAUCUUGUAAUUUCAAAUUUUAAUAUUUAGUUUAAGUUUUUAUAUAAAAAUAUAUUUAAAAAAUUUAAACAAAAUAAUGUAACAAUAUAAGAAUCAUUUUUAAAAUAAACCGAAAGAAAUGUACUAUUUAUUUUGUUUGAUUAACAAUAGCUAUAAUGGAAAGCUAUUGCUACAUUAAUAUUACUAUAGUUGUUUCGUUUUAUAAAAGGUAUGGUUUGGCUUUUUUUGGUGUUGCGUCGGAAAUUUCUCAAAUAUUACAACUUUGUAUGUUGAUUAUAUUUUGUAGACAUUUAUGUAAAGUCGACGAUCAUUUUUGUAUGUUAACUAAUAAUUUAUUAAUUUAAAAGGUUUAAAAUUUUAAAAAUUAACUUUUUUUUGGGAAGAAAAAAUUAACUUUUAAAUCAUGUAAAAUGAACUUUGUUGUUCACAAACUUGAAUUUAGUCUAGUUUGAGUAAAAGAAAAUGUGUUUCAAAAUCAAAUUGAAAUUUGAAUUUUGAGUUGAAUCAAUUUUUAUUGACUCGACUUAAGUCAAAUUAAACUCAAUUCAACUCAUUUUCUACCUUAAAUAUAAAAAAAGUAUUAUAUGAUUAUUAAGAUUUAACCUUUAAAAACAAUAUUUAUUUAUAUUUAUAAAUUAAUAUAAAUCAGUAUGUUGAUAUUUAUAAAUAAUUAAAUUCUUUUAACGUAAGGAUUUUGAAAUUUUAGAGUAGAAACAUUUGUUCAUAUUAAGGAACAUUUGUUCACUAAUGUACUUUUUCUAUUAAGGGCUCUCUGCUCUUAAAGAUGACUUUAAAUUCAGAUUGAAGAUGGAAACUCCUAUUUUUGGAUUUUUCAAUUGACCUGAGGUAGAGAAAUUAGUGGACCAAGUUCUCUGUGUGGAUAUUCACGAUCUGGAAAUACGAGGUGUUUAUUUGGAUGAGAAUUAGAACUUCAAUUCAUUAUAUGUUAAUAUUCAUUUGGUUGUUUGUGACCGUCUAAAAGCGCUUCUCAUUUGUGAAAUUCUGGCGUAGUCAGAGUUCAGAUGUUCUACUCCAAGUCAUGACAUCUGAUCCAACAUUGUUACUAAUACAGCAAGACAGUUAUACAAAUUAAAACCCAGUACUAAUCUACACACAUUCACCAUGAAAUUCUGGCGUAGUCAGAGUUCAGAUGUUCUACUCCAAGUCAUGACAUCUGAUCCAACAUUGUUACUAAUACAGCAAGACAGUUAUACAAAUUAAAACCCAGUACUAAUCUACACACAUUCACCGAUGUCACGACAUCUACUACUAUAUCACCAUAGAAUGGAAGAACACCCAGUUCUGUCCAUCUGGUACAAGGACACAGUAGAGAUCAAACAUAGCACUAACUUCUGUUGAGCCUGCACAGUUAUCAGCAUGAUGUCUCAAUAGUGAUUUGGACAUCACCUGUUACAGUAUUACAGUUUGCUGGCCUUGUACUUGUAUUUCCUAAAAUAAAGGUUAAACACGUUAAUCUAAUUUCCACAUAUUAGGGUGCUAACAAAUAGGCUAUUUGUUAGGUUCAUUAAUUGUAGCUCAGUUGUUAGUUUCCUGGAUUUCAGCUCAGCUGUUGGAUUGCUGAAGAAUAGCCUGAGAAAAAUAUUGAAACAGAAAAACUAACCUUCCUACAAUUUAGCAUAUGCUGUCAGGAAUGGAUGUCACAACAUUCAUUUUGGACGUCCAGAACAUAGACCAUAUGCUAAGUCUGUUAUUUUUCUGAAAACAGACUGUACAAAAUGAUGUACUGUAUAAGACCAACCAGUCUAUAUUUCAAUAUCAGCUUACAGUAAUAAAUGUCAAAACAUCCAGUUUGACAUUUACAGAAUGUGCCUUAUGCCAGGUCUGUUAUCCUCUUGAAGAACAGACUGAGAUACAUACUGAACUGUAGCAGAAGACCAACCUGCCUUAUUAUUCAGUAUAUGCUGACAAUGGUGAAUGUCAUAACAUCCAGUUUGACAUUCAAACAGUAUGCUAUGUACCAGGUCUGUUAUUCUCUUGAUAAACAGACUGAAAUACAUGCUGAGUUAUAACAGACAGAAUUAUAACGUGCAGAAGGAAAACAAACACAGGAAAUUGUUAACCCAGUUCGGUGCAACAUCACCUACUCUGGGGGCAUACCAAGCCAGGAAGAAGAUCCACUAUCAGUAGUAUUAAUUCAGAGUUAAACUCUCUCUGCGGUUUAACUCUUCACUUAAUCCCUACCCAAUGCAAUUUAUACCGUAGGAACUCCUAGAUAGAAACCACCAGUUUCCAUUUCUAUCACUACAAUUUCAAAGUAAUGCUAAACAAGUUGAACUUGCUUCACAACUUAGUUCAAGACCAUGACAACUCUUACCUACAGGCUUUGAGUUACAAAAUAAUCUCAGCUUUGAGCACUGAGAAACACAUGGUAAUCUUCCCACAGGUUGGGAGGUUUACCUCACACACACCCCUAAUUUUUACAUUGUUUGAGGCUCACUUCACCUAGGUUACAAUCUGCUAUUUAUAACCUAAACACCCAACUGGAUUUGGGCCUUAGAAAUCGCAACAAGCUUCUCCUUUGUUGUUACAAAGUCAGCAGAAAACUCCUGCUAUAAUCAAGGUCUUCAAUCUUUUAGUUCCUAAAAUAUCUCCAUAUAUAUCUCCAUAUUUGGAAACUGUAUAUUCUGAUUGAGUCUUUAAGAUCUCCACAAGGAAGUUAGGAUAUUCACCAAAUAUCCUCACUAAUCCCAGAAUAUAUGCCUGAAUUAACUAAUUCAGUUUUCUACACAUGUGUGAUGUCACAGUCACGAUGUCGUGACAUCGUACAUGACAUGUUGGUCCAGAUGUUGAACUUCUUCAACCCAACAUAUUAAAACAACAGAGAUGAUUACAUUAUUUGUUUUACAAAAUUAAUGUCAAUCCUAAGGUAUUAACAAUUUGUUUGAAUUUUCUAGUGUCUGGUUGGUUGAUCUGGAGGCAAUUUAGAUGGUAUCUAUAUUGUUCGGGAUGAUUAUAUCUGGCUUAAGAGACUUGAAUUUAUUCAUAAUACAACAGAAACUCUUGGAAGUGGGUGUGGCAUAUAUCUGCUCAUAAAAAGGUGAAAUUCUUCUUUUGAGCGGCUUUACAUAAAUCAUUUCCUACGAGAUCGAUGUUGUGUCAUCAUGGUAUGCUACAGGCGAAUCUCUAUUCUAUAUGCAAUCAUGACACUAAGGUGAAUCUACACUACUUGAGACUGUGAAUUCACUACUCGCUUUUGGAAAUCUAUUGGUUUCUUGGAUCCAUUAUUCUUCUAAGGGGAUAGUUUAUAUGAUUGGAUUAGACAUGGCAUUGAUGAUGACUCUAUCUUUUUGGCUGCUUGUUGAUUGUUAUGACGCACUAAAAACAAAUUGUAUCUUGCAAAUGAAGUGGCAUCUUUCUGUACUUUGAAACUCAUCACAGUUAAUUAUGCUAAUUUAUUAGCUAAAUGUUUUCUCAAGCAUAAAUGUCUCAUCCAACGAGAACAAUCAUGUGGAAUGCAUACAAAGAUAGUAAUAUGAUUUUGAAUUUUGAUGGCAAUAGCCUCAGUAAUCUCGGCGUCUCGUAUUUUGUUGGAUUGAUUUGAAAUGAUGAUGGUGCUUUGGUUCACAAUUUUGUGGGUAAUUGAUUUGAAAUGAUGAUGGUGCUUUGGUUCACAAUUUUGUGGGUAAUAUUAGUUAUUCCAACAUCCUUCAUGUUGAGUUGAUGGUGUUAUAUCAUGAUUUGUAUAGGGUCUGAGAACUUAGCAUCAAAGACAUAAUGUGUUACUCUAACUCUAACUCUGCUAUCAAACUAAUCUCAAAGACCGUUAAUAUUUGACAUCACUAUGUUGCGAAUCUUCACAACAUUAAAGAGCUCCUCUUCAGGAAAUGACACGUUCAAAUAUUACACACUCUUACGGAAGAAAAUAUUUGUGCUAACUGUCUAACAAAACAUGAGACCGAUAAUGAUGCGCCGAAUAAGUUUUUUUUUUGCAUAAUCUCCUAUUUAAAUUAUCACUCUCUUGCUAAUUGAUAUUUAGUCGAAUUUCCUAUUCUUUUUCACUUUUACCAAUAUAUAAUUUUUUUUUUAAACAAAUUUUAAAAAAUAAUAAUUUUUUUUAUUGAAAGUGUCAUUAAAUCCAAAAAAAAUCAAUAAACUUAAUUGUUAAUAAUACAUGUUUUAAAGAGCAAUUCUUAUUUGUCAAAAAAAAAAAGAGUAAUUCUUAUAAUCCUCAAUAAUAUUUAUUAUUAUUAUUAUUAUUAUCUUUUAAAUGGGUCUGUUUUUAUGUCUCCAGAAUUUUUUUUAUUUAUAUAGAUUAAUCAUUUAACUUACAAAAAUAGUCAUAAUCACAAUAAGAGUAGGAAGAGUUUGAAAUUGAGUAAUAAGCAAAUGCUAAUAAAACAAAAUAAGUCUAUAAUUAACCUCAUACACAAAGGGGGCAAAUGAUCCAAAUUGGAAAGGAUCCUGGUAAAAAUGAUCCAAAUUGGAAAUGAUCCAAAUCAUUCAUGUAGCAAUACAGCUAAACAUGAGAACUCAAGAACCAAAAGUGGUCCUUCAAAUGACUUUAACAUGCUAAAAAGAAAAGUCAUUAUUUGAUUUUCCCUUUAUCAUUCAUUAUGAAAGAGACUCACGUUUAGAUUAUUCCAUUCCAAACACAGUGUCCAAUCCUUGUCUCUUCCUACCUUUUUCACCCCACUAUCCCUACCGAGCUUCCUUAUACAAACCAUUAUCCAUCUAAUUUAUCUUUAAAGUUACCUAACCAAAUUUGUGUUUGAAAUUAAAAUCAUAAGAACGUGAUUUAUUAUUUUUCCUUAAAUUCAACCACUCUAUCAAUAAUUUGAUGUUCUAUUUAAACUUUAAUUCAGAGACUUGUUGUUACACGGCAUUGACUAUUAUGAAUAAGAGAGGUGUACAUUGGCUCACAUGGAAACCAGUUAAGACACACAUUCUAUGAAACUUCUGACUCAUGGCUACAUUUUUUAUAAACUAUAGUAUAUAAUUUAAAUGACGCAUUCAUUGCCAGCUUAUUAUUAGCAUUAACGACAGUAAUAAACAAAUAGACCUGAUGUAAUGUAACAACAACAAAAUUACAUCACUUCUUUCAGAAUAACCUGUUUAAUUAUUAAUUCAUAGAAAAAUUUAUUUAAAAAAAAAAAAAAAGCAUAAAUGAAUCAUAGAAAAAUAUUUGUUCAAACAUUAUACUAUAGAGAAAUGUGCAUGAUUUCCUUUCCUCCACCACUUGGUCAGUGGGGGCUGUUUUUUAAUUUGAAAAAGCAUAGUUGUAUAAUAAAAUUAUCUAACAGAAAUAAAGAACCAAUAAUGUGCACGUUUCAUUCAUUUAUUGACAUCAUAAUUCAAAUGUUAGAACCGACAAUGAUCAGUUGCUAAAAACAAUGCACUCAGCAAACAUUACUAGAAAAUUCAUUCAUGAAGCUACAAUACAUAUAUCAGAUACAGCAACGCAGGUUUGAAUAUGUGAGAUUUCACUUAUUUCUUUUAAAGAGUGAAAUUUCAGCUAGUAAAUUACUUGACUCCUCUAGAGACUAAAACAUUACUAAAGUUAAAGGCCGAAGAAAAAAAUAAUAAUUAUUUCGUUCAGGAGAGAUUUAAUUAAUCUGUGAAAUAAAGUUUUUCUGGUUAUUGUUUCUAACUUUUUCUCCCUCUAAAGUUUGUGAGCCUCGAAUAACCUGUAAAUGAUGCAACGUGCACUUUGAACUCAUGCAUGUGUUGACAAGAAUCACAUGUUAAUAAUCAUUAUUAUUGAGAGAAAUCACAUGGCUCAGAAAAUUAAAAAAAUUAAAGUGAAAGUGAAAGUAAUAUAGCAUAGCAGGUGAACUAAAGUGAAAACCAAUUUGUAUUCUUCUCGUAUUAGCAACUUCCCUUGGCCAUGGCCAUGGCCAUGACCAUUAUACGUAUUUAGAUGAAUUAAGGUGCAGAAGUGUGUAAUGUAUAUUUCAAAUUUCUAGGGAUACAUUUGAAAUAAAAUAAACUAUGAUUUUAGAUUAUGAUGACGAUCUAUAUCAUACCUAACGACCACGUGUACCUGUAGGAAAUUAAGGCAUAUUUGGGUUAUUCUGUAACACAAAGUGCCAAAUGCUUUGUGUUCAAAACGUACAGAAAGAAAUAAAGAAAAGUCAAAUAUCAUCUUCACCUUAUUAUUAAACAAACACAAAUGAUUUGAUCUAAAGCUUGUAAUAGCUGCCAGCCAUUAAGGACUUAAACAAAAAUAAUUAAUCUUUAAUGCAAAAUAGAGUAUUCACUUUCCCUUUAUGCUAAAACAAUUGAAAAGAAAAAAAAAACUAAAGAGAAAUAAAGCAUUUUGGAGGUACUUUUUUGUCAAGAUAGGCAACUCAGCAGAGAAUGAUAAAAGAAUAGUAAGUUAUGGUAAUUAGUUUGUGUUGGAUACUAUACUAAGAAGAAGUAGAAAUGGUGAUUAAUAUUUCAAUUAUUAGUAGUAGUAGUUGGAAUUUGAUGGUGACUGGUUCUAUUGUAUGGCCAUUUGGAGGAAAAGAAAUUGGAGAGAGAGAGAGUGUGUAAAACAGUAGUUAGAAAAGUCAUAAGGCCAGCUGGAGGGAAACUUAGUUUAAGGCAUUAAAAUCUAAAAGAAACCAAAUGAAUAUUUUGAAAUGGUCCCUUAUGACAGCUCCCCUUUAACGACUCAUUACUCUCACUAUAAGUAUAGCUAUUUUAUGUAAGCUUUCAUCAGUCAUCACUAACACAAAACCUUCCCCUCCUCUUUCUCUAUCUCUCUUUUCAGCUUUUCUAAAUAGUGGUGAGGAUACUCUCAGAAGCAUUGGCCAGCUUUUGCCUAUUGCCCAUGACUGCUAGGGGCAGUGACCCCAUAAGGGGUCGGUUUCGGCCGGAAAUGGCCAUGGCAUUGGCCAUUGUUCUGAUUUCUACUACUGUGGUUUCUGUUGCUGCUGAUGGUUACCCAUACAGUUCUCCUCCACCACCAACUUAUGAGUACAAGUCACCUCCACCAUCAACUCCUUCACCACCACCUCCUUAUGAGUACAAGUCACCCCCUCCACCACCCAUUGAACCUCCUUAUGAGUACAAGUCACCCCCUCCACCACCCAUUGAACAUAAGGCUCCACCAUAUGAGUACAAGUCACCUCCACCACCAUCUGCCUCACCCCCACCUCCUUAUGAGUACAAGUCUCCUCCACCACCUUCUUCAUCACCUCCACCUCCUUACUACUAUAAAUCUCCACCACCACCCUCUCCCUCACCUCCACCACCUUACUACUACAAAUCUCCUCCACCACCCUCUCCUUCCCCUCCUCCACCUUACUAUUACAAGUCUCCCCCACCACCAUCACCUGUUUACAAAUACAAUUCACCACCUCCACCAUCACCAACUUAUGUGUACAAAUCUCCUCCUCCUCCAACACCAGUUUAUAAAUAUAAAUCACCACCUCCACCAUCACCAACAUAUGUGUACAAGUCUCCUCCUCCUCCAACACCAGUUUACAAGUAUAAGUCACCACCUCCACCAUCACCAACAUAUGUGUACAAGUCUCCUCCUCCUCCAACACCAGUUUACAAGUAUAAGUCACCACCUCCACCAUCACCAACAUAUGUGUACAAGUCUCCUCCUCCUCCAACACCGGUAUACAAACCUCCAUACUACUACAAUUCACCUCCUCCUCCAACACCAGUUUACAAAUACAAAUCACCACCUCCUCCAUCACCAACUUACGUGUACAAGUCUCCUCCUCCACCAACACCAGUAUACAAACCCCCAUACUACUAUAACUCACCUCCUCCUCCAACACCAGUUUACAAGUAUAAUUCACCACCUCCACCAUCACCAACUUACGUGUACAAGUCUCCUCCUCCUCCCGCACCAGUUUAUAAGUACAACUCACCACCUCCUCCAACACCAGUAUACAAAUACAACUCACCACCUCCUCCAUCACCAGUUUACAAGUACAACUCACCACCUCCUCCAUCACCAGUUUACGUCUACAAGUCACCACCCCCACCAACACCUGUAUACAAACCCCCAUACUACUACAACUCACCUCCUCCUCCAACACCAGUGUACAAGUACAAUUCACCACCUCCACCGUCACCAACUUACGUGUACAAGUCACCACCCCCACCAUCACCUGUAUACAAACCCCCAUACUACUACAACUCACCUCCUCCUCCAACACCAGUGUACAAGUACAAUUCACCUCCUCCUCCAACACCGGUGUACAAAUAUAAUUCACCUCCUCCUCCAACUUACUACUACAAUUCGCCACCACCUCCGGUAAAAUCUCCUCCUCCACCAACACCUUACUACUACCAAUCUCCACCACCACCCAAGUACACUCCACCUCCAUACUACUAUAGCUCUCCUCCUCCCCCUGUUGUGUAUCCCCCACAUCCAUAUCACCACUCAUUGAUUGUGAAGGUAGUGGGUAAAGUCUACAGCUACAAGUGCUAUAACUGGGAGUAUCCUGAAAAGUCUCAUGACAAGAAACACCUCAAAGGUAUAUUACAUUCACUUCUUAAUCCUUAUAUUUUAAUCUCUCUUAUCGACAUCAAUAUUUUUUUAUAGUCAAAUUCUUGCUGGUUAGUUUUACAUUUUUAGAUGAGUUUCAUACGCUCUUUAUAUUAAGUUUAGUUAUUCAUUUUUCAAUCAACUACUACAAAGUAUUUUAUCUUCUGCAUGUACCCUUUACAAAUGAGAACUUACAUAUAUUAAUAAAAACUAACUUUUUUUCACUCAUUAAAGUAAAACAACUUAAUUCCUAAAUAACAUGCAAAUUUUGCUUAGUUCCGACUGCAAGAUGUAAUAAAGGAAAUCAAUAUGAUAGAUAAUAUGACUCGAUAUUUGGAAUUGGAUAAUGCUACAUAAUUACUAUGAUCUACAACACGGAUAGCUAAACUUUACCUUUUAGUAAAACCUUGUAAUGUUUAAUUCUGUCAUUACUUAUAUUUGACUUUACUGUGAGGCUUACGAAUUUCAACUGAUUAUGGGAUAGGUGCUGUUGUUGAGGUCAAAUGCAAAGCUGGAAGGAACAUCAUCAAGGCGUACGGUAAAACUAAGAACAAUGGAAAGUACGCCAUCACAAUUCCAAACUUUAACUAUGUGAAAUAUGGUCCCACAGUGUGCAAAGCCAAACUACAUGCUCCACCUAAAGGCUCUCCAUUCAACAUCCCAACUAAGCUCAAUGAGGGAACCGACUUGUGGGUAAAAUCUAAAGACAAGUAUGAAGUUGUGCUCAAGGCAAAGCCAUUCGCCUAUGCUUCUAAGAAGCAUUAUGAAGAAUGUGAAAAGCCUAAGCCUUCACCAACUCCUUACUACUACAAGUCACCUCCUCCUCCUACACCAACUUACAUAUACAAGUCACCACCCCCACCAUCACCAACUUAUGUGUACAAGUCACCACCUCCACCAUCACCUAUAUACAAACCCCCAUAUUACUACAACUCACCUCCUCCUCCAACACCAGUUUACAAGUACAAUUCACCACCUCCACCAUCACCAACUUACGUGUACAAGUCACCACCUCCACCAUCACCUGCAUACAAACCCCCAUACUACUAUAACUCACCUCCUCCUCCAACACCGGUUUACAAGUACAACUCACCACCUCCACCGUCACCAACAUACGUGUAUAAAUCACCACCACCACCAUCACCUAUAUACAAACCCCCGUACUACUACAAUUCACCUCCUCCUCCAACACCAGUUUACAAGUACAAUUCACCACCUCCACCAUCACCAACUUAUGUGUACAAGUCACCACCCCCACCAUCACCGGUAUACAAACCCCCGUACUACUACAACUCACCUCCUCCCCCAACACCAGUUUACAAAUACAACUCACCUCCUCCACCGUCACCAACAUACGUGUACAAGUCACCACCCCCACAUCACCGGUAUACAAACCCCCGUACUACUACAACUCACCUCCUCCCCCAACACCAGUUUACAAAUACAACUCACCUCCUCCACCGUCACCAACAUACGUGUACAAGUCACCACCCCCACCAUCACCUGUGUACAAACCCCCAUACUACUACAACUCACCUCCUCCUCCAACCCCAGUUUACAAGUACAAUUCACCACCCCCACCGUCACCAACAUAUGUCUACAAGUCUCCACCCCCGCCAUCACCUGCGUACAAACCCCCAUACUAUUACAACUCACCUCCUCCACCAACGCCUGUUUAUAAGUACAAUUCUCCACCUCCACCGUCACCAACUUAUGUGUACAAGUCACCACCCCCACCAUCACCUGUAUACAAACCCCCAUACUACUAUAACUCGCCUCCUCCUCCAACACCAGUUUACAAAUACAGUUCACCUCCUCCUCCAACACCGGUUUAUAAGUACAAUUCACCUCCUCCACCAUCACCAACUUACGUGUACAAGUCACCACCCCCACCAUCACCGGUAUACAAACCCCCAUACUACUACAAUUCACCUCCUCCACCAUCACCAACUUACAAGUACAAUUCACCACCUCCGCCAUCACCAACUUAUGUGUAUAAGUCACCACCUCCACCAUCACCAACUUAUGUGUAUAAGUCACCACCUCCACCAUCACCUGUGUACAAACCCCCGUACUACUACAACUCACCUCCUCCUCCAACACCAGUUUACAAGUACAAUUCACCUCCUCCACCAACACCAGUUUACAAGUACAAUUCACCUCCUCCACCAACACCUAUAUACAAACCUCCAUACUACUACAAUUCACCUCCUCCUCCAACCCCAGUUUACAAGUACAACUCACCUCCUCCUCCAACACCGGUUUACAAAUACAACUCCCCUCCUCCUCCAACACCGGUUUACAAGUACAACUCCCCUCCUCCUCCUCCAAAACACCGGUUUAUCAAGACAACUCACUCCUCCUCCAACACCGGUUUACAAAUACAAUCACCCCUCCUCACCAUCAUCCGUGAUUUACAAGACAACUCACCUCCUCCUCCAUCACCUGUUACAAGUACAACUCACCCCUCCUCCUACACCGGUUUACAAGACAACACCCUCCCCUCCUCCUCUCAACCACCGUUACAAAUACAAACUCCCCUCCUCCUCCAUCACCGGUUUACAAGUACAACUCCCCUCCUCCUCCAUCACCGGUUUACAAGUACAACUCCCCCCCUCCUCCAACACCGGUUUACAAGUACAACUCCCCUCCUCCUCCAACACCGGUUUACAAGUACAACUCCCCACCUCCUCCAACACCGGUUUACAAGUACAAGUCACCACCUCCACCGUCACCAACUUACGAGUACAAAUCUCCUCCUCCUCCAACACCAGUUUACAAGUACAAAUCUCCACCUCCACCAUCACCUACAUAUGUGUACAAGUCUCCUCCACCACCAACACCAGUUUACAAGUACAACUCACCACCUCCACCAUCCCCAUCACAUCCCCCUCCAUACUAUUACAAUUCUCCCCCACCGCCAUCACCAUCCCCACCUCCACCUUACUAUUACCAAUCCCCACCACCACCAUCCUCUUCUCCACCACCUCCUUAUUACUAUCAAAGUCCUC